UAACUUGUAAAUAACUGAUUGGCGUUAUCGUAAAAUAGGGAGGGGUUAUGCAUGCUUAGUUAAAAUAAUGGGUAGAAAACAUGCUUAUAGAGUUUUACUUACUUGUUUGUGCAAUAGAUAUCAUGUAUAGGACAUACAUCUCAUAUAGUAGCAAUCCUGUUUUAGACUCUUUACUUUCAGCCUAUUGUCAUACUCAUUUCGUAAUCACGACUAGCCAUUGACUAAUGAAUAACUCUUAGAACUACUGGUGCAUUUUCAUUGGCAUUUAAAGACCAUGUUUUAGGAGUUUACGUGCAUUAGACACCAUG
rnacentral:lncRNA from 1 species